rnacentral:rRNA from 1 species
GACGAACGCUGGCGGCGCGCCUAACACAUGCAAGUCGAACGGAGUCAAGAGGAGCUUGCUUUUCUUGACUUAGUGGCGAACGGGUGAGUAACGCGUGAGUAACCUGCCCUGGAGUGGGGGACAACAGUUGGAAACGACUGCUAAUACCGCAUAAGCCCACGGAUCCGCAUGGAUCUGCGGGAAAAGGAUUUAUUCGCUUCAGGAUGGACUCGCGUCCAAUUAGCUAGUUGGUGAGGUAACGGCCCACCAAGGCGACGAUUGGUAGCCGGACUGAGAGGUUGAACGGCCACAUUGGGACUGAGACACGGCCCAGACUCCUACGGGAGGCAGCAGUGGGGGAUAUUGCACAAUGGUGGAAACCCUGAUGCAGCGACGCCGCGUGGAGGAAGAAGGUUUUCGGAUUGUAAACUCCUGUCGUUAGGGACGAUAAUGACGGUACCUAACAAGAAAGCACCGGCUAACUACGUG